rnacentral:tRNA from 1 species
AGUAGGGUGCCUGAAUAUAGGUUUUCCCUGAUACGGAAUAUAUGCUACUUGCCCCUACCA